UGGCAAUAUUACGUUGAAACACCGGUUAUCGUAGGUUCACCGAAGUUAAGCAACGUCGAGCCUAAUCAGUACUUAGAUGGGUAACCGAUUCGGAAUAUCAGGUGUUGUAAG